rnacentral:rRNA from 1 species
AUGUACAUGCCUACAACAUAGAGUUAAUGCAUUGGAUCCUAGUAGAACUCCACAGUUAAGCGUGUUCAGUCUAGAGUAGUACUGGGAUGGGUGACCACUCAAGAAGUACUAGUAUUUUACAUU